UACGUAGGGGGCAAGCGUUGUCCGGAUUUAUUGGGCGUAAAGCGCGUGUAGGCGGCCAGAAAAGUCCGCUGUGAAAACUCGAGGCUCAACUUCGAGCUGUCGGUGGAAACUUUCUGGCUGGAGUCCGGAAGAGGAGAAUGGAAUUCCUGGUGUAGCGGUGAAAUGCGCAGAUAUCAGGAAGAACACCCGUGGCGAAGGCGGUUCUCUGGGACGGUACUGACGCUGAGACGCGAAAGCGUGGGGAGCGAACAGG
rnacentral:rRNA from 1 species